rnacentral:rRNA from 1 species
GUCCACGCCGUAAACUAUGAACACUAGGUAUUGGAGGAUUUGACCCCUUCAGUGCCGUAGCUAACGCGUUAAGUGUUCCGCCUGGGAAGUACGGUCGCAAGACUAAAACUCAAAGGAAUUGACGGGGCCCGCACAAGCGGUGGAUUAUGUGGUUUAAUUCGAAGCAACGCGCAGAACCUUACCAAGGCUUGAAAUCCCAUGAAAUCCCUUUUAAAACGAGGGAGUGCUCUUCGGAGAAUAUGGUGACAGGCGCUGCAUGGCUGUCGU